UAUUCGCAGAGCACCCACUAGGUGCCAGUAAAUGUAUGAGAAGUCCUGUGGAAUAAGACUGAAGUUGUCCUUGCCUUCAAGCAACUUGCAAUUGCCUAAGAACACAGUUUAAAACCACAAAACUAAGCCUUGGAAAUCACAUGCUGUCAUUUCUGCGAUCGGUCAUAACCAGUCCUGAUUCCAUGUUAGAGGAGACUACAUAAGGACACAGGUACCAGAAGGAGACUAACCAGCAUGGGCUACAUCAAAAAGGCUGCCAUCUACUUUCUGCUGGGUAGGGGCACCAGAGAGACUUGUCAGAAACUAGAAGGAAGGUAGAGUGCGAAAUCUGAGUGUUAAUUCCCUGGCUUCAUCAAAGGACACUGGUCUUCACAAGGAAACAGACUACAUGAUUCUCCUUUUGGGCUUCAGUAAAAACCCCCUCCUUUCAUCCCUUAGUCUAGGGAUGGUAAGAGGUCAGCAGCUAAGAAUUCUAGGUUCUUUGUGGUUUUCCCGUAUACAUGUCUUUGAUGAUAGCCCCUUUGGAAAUAAAUUCUCCUAGACUUUU
rnacentral:lncRNA from 1 species